CUGCAGACAGCACGCACAAUUUAGUUGCCUGGCUCUCCUCGCACUGCUGAGAGCAGGACAUAGGAGGUCUCUCCCAUUUCUUCCCCUUCCCUGGAUUUGGGCCCCAAGAAGGACACUGAGGUGCUGAGAAGGGCAACGGGGCUGGUGAGGGGUCUGGAGCACAAGUCUGCGUUUCCAAGGUAUUACCCCAUUGAAGGGAAGCAUCAUAACUUCUUUCCUUGAGCCACAGAAAGAUCAAAGUGGGAAGGAAAGCAGGAAAAAAGGAGCUGAGUCUGGAGAUGCCCUACCUACAAGGACUACCUGCCUCCUUCAAAAGCAGCAUCAUCUCAAGCCUCCAUCCAUCCAUCCAUCCAUCCAUCCAUCCAUCCACCCACCCAUCCAUCCAGCAGCACUUCCAUCCACCAGCACUCUUGGCAAGCCAGCGAGGACGGGCACAUGCCCGGUGGAGCAGAGGUAGGAGGGGAAGUUGUAGCAAAGCAGCCCCACUUUCACAGCAGGCUGUGAAAAAGAUGCCCUAGGCUUUUGGGGGACCAUAUGAAAAUUCAGCCCCCCCACAUUGUCUCUAGAGAGAGUUUACCAGCAGCAUUAGCGGUAUGUCAGCACAGAGGGGCUCCGGGCUAUGAAAAUGCUUACACCGCGCCGAGAGAAAUCUCAUUUCUAACCACCAUCUGUAAGGCUCUGGAUGUAAGAAUCAUAACACAGAUUAAGCUGAACUUUUAAAACACGUUUCAAGCAAGCAUCUGAAAGCACUUUGCAAACAAACACGAAGGUGUUAAGCUUCACAGCAACUAGGUGAAGACGACGAAUAUUUGUCUUCUAAUUAGAGACCCAGAGAAGUGGAAGCGUAAGAAAUAGGACUGAUUCAGCACGGCAGAAAGUGAAUGUUGAAACCUAAUUUUUGGAGUCAGAUGGAUUUGCUGGGGAAUAGGAACAAUGCGUAAACAUGCUGAGUUAUGGACUUUGGGAUUUUCGGAGCUGGCUAAGGGAAUUAGGUACCCAUUGACAUAUAGGGAAUUAGAAAAAUAAUAUUUAUAACUUAACCUGAGGUCCAUGUCAGCCCAACAUCCUCAUGCACAGAACGGGAUUUGCCUGUGGUUUUGGGAUGGUACUUUAUGCCCAGGUUCCUCAAGGCCAGCAAACCGUAAGAGCCCAUUGCUAACUGGUAUCUCCAGGGCUGCCAAGUUCCUCAUGGGAUGACUGCGAGGAGGGAAGUCUUGUGGCACAGUCUCAGAGCGGGACCCCCAGCCAGGAUCUGGUGUCCUGGAAGGUCAGAUGUUCUUGCUGCGCUGUUGGUCCAGCCUGGAGCCCCUGCGUGCUCCGGUUAUGUUUGGCAAGCCUGUGCCCGAAAGCAGCUGUCUGAGAUUAGACAGCAGCCUGAUCAAAUCUGGCGCAAAUGGCACAAAGUCCUUGAGAAAUCUCUGCUGCUGUUUUCCUAAAGGCUGGCUGUCCGGCAGAACAGCCCGGCACCAUCCUUCGCUGUCCUCUUGGCACCCUCCAAGAGGGUGGGGAGGUAGCAGGGAGCAAUUCCUAACGGGAGCCGCCAGUGUGAGGCAUAGCACGAGUGCUCUGAGCGAGCUGCCCUUUGCAGGACCCCGUCCGCUUCCCAGACCUGAGCUCCACUCCCUUCUUCUUCUAGGAGAAACUGGGCUACGCUUACAAAGGAAAAAUCAGUCCAAACUGCUAAUUAAAGAGAGGCCCCAGAGCUGUUUUCCAUUAGCUGCCAUUUCUAAACAGAGUCAGAGAGGCGAAAAAAAAAAAAAAAUCAAACCAAGGUCUGUAACCACUGCAGAGCUUGUCCCAACAGCUUUCCAAUUCCUAGCCGGGACUGCAUCCUCCCUCCCUCCCUGCCAGUUCUUCCUGCUGUUAUUCACAGAGGUGCCCGCCAUCUCCAAAAGGGAUGGUGGCAGGAGGGGAAAGUUAUUACUUGUAGGAGCAACGCAGCACGUGGGGCUUGCUCUGCAAAACGAACUCUCUCUCUGCCAUCCACGUUCCCGUAUCACCCUCUCUGCACCAGCGUCUCCACUGUCGCAAGCAACCGGGAGGUGAAAGCAGCAGUGGCCCUGCAGCGCUUUCCAGCUGUGCCAAUGUCCCCGUUGCUAAAGGCAAUGUCACACAUGGCACCUCUGGGAUGGCCAGAGGAGCACCUUGGUGGACAGAUAAGACCUUGGCACCUGCUUCACCUCUGUGGUUGCCCCGGCAAGAGGGGCACAGUUGUCUCUUUGCUUGAGCAGGGGACCAGGAGAUGAGCUGCAGCGAUGAACGGGGAGUGCGGACUGCUGGUGUGACUUACGGAGCUCAGUGUCCCCCUGGGUAAAGCAAGGGGAAGAACUGGAGACUGUCGCCUGCAGUCAGAGACCCGUCUCACUGGAGACUCUGUAGUGCUGAUCCCAGGAUUUGGGGUGUGAACCCCUGCCCGUUCCAGCCUUGUUACCAUACGCCGUCAUGUUCCCUGAUCCCGGAUUCUCCCAUGUCCGCCCGACCGGGAGCAGCCGUGCCAUCCGAUCCGGGCUGGGAGCAGACGGUCGGGCUUCUGCUGAGACAGGAGUAUGUGACGUGAUGCUCGUACGGACCCGGGGCUUUACAGCGCUUUUGUGAUGGCAAUUGGAAAAACAGAUCAAUCUGGCUGGAUGUAAAUGUUUCAGAAACACAGGGUGAGAAAAUUCCCUUUGCGCACCAGAGGAGAGGGUUUCCAGGAGAAGGCACGGCGACGGCAAACGAUUUUUAAAAACUGCAAAAAGAAUCCGUGACUCAACCAAAAGUAUGGUGAGGCCUUGGCCAGGAUGACCAAGUCAUAGCUGAUAUCUUGGAAACUUUGCAUGAGGGCUUACGUGAGCUCCGGUUAAAGCUCAUCGCUCUCUAGUCUGUGGCAGUAAGUCCUGUGCUCAUGGAUUCAGGGGGGCAAAGGCUCCCUCGGACCCAUCAAAACUCCCUGUACCACUCUCCAUCUUCUUCGGUGACCCUCCGUUCAUGUCCUGGGAUGCUCCUGUAGGAUCCUUUGGCCACCCUUGGCUUUAGCAGUUUUUCUAAGCAAAGCCACAUUUCUAAACGUUCAAUGCAGCUUACUGUAUUUUCACAUAAAUAUCAAUGGGAUCUCGUCUGUUAAAAUCCCAUCUAUUUGAGCAUAUAAUUUUCCCGGAGUCAGAAUCUAUUAGUGAAAUCUCAGCCCGUGUGACAAGAUAACAGAAUCCUCAAAUUAAAUAGGGUUUCGACAAUUACAGCUUCCCCCUUUCUUUCCCGGCAUUAGCACCAUAAACGCUGCUGUCAGACAAGAUAAGAUCUGAAUUCUCUCCUGACAAGGCAAAUGUUAUCAGAGAUCAGUUAAUUACACACUGGAUUUCAACAGAGGCAAAUAAACCCCCUGCGGGUUAGUGUGAAAACUGCUGUCUUCCCACCAGUUUUUCCCUGGGCCACCAGGCACGCGUCCCCCAUCCAUCCCUCCCUCACCACCACGCUACGGAAACGGGAUCCGCAUUCUCUGCCUGGGUUUAGACCUUUCCCCAGGCUAAAAGGGGUGCCAUAGAGCAAGGGGUAAUGGUUUUACACUGAACGAGGGGAGAUUGAGAUAUUGGGAAGAAAUUGUUUGCUGUGAGGGCGGUGAGCCCCUGGCCCAGGUUGCCCAGAGAAGCUGUGGCUGCCCCAUCCCUGGAAGGGUUCAAGGCCAGGUUGGACGGGGCUUGGAGCAACCUGGGCUGGUGGGAGGUGUCCCUGCCCAGGGCAGGGGGUUGGAACGAGAUGAUCUUUAAGGUCCCUUCCAACCUGAACCAUUCUGUGAUUCUAAGAGAGAUGAGCACUGACGCUCAACGGAGGUCUGGUCCCAAGGUGGAGGCUCCUCGGUUGACUUUGCUCACCGUCUUAGCCAGGCUCCUGGAGGCUGUAAGCCCUGAAGCAAACACUCAUGCAGACUGUCUGUUGCAUUUAAUUUUUGCCGUCUAAAUUUGCACGUGCUUGUCCAAAACUGCCAUCUAGACUCACACAAUGGCGACCAGAGGGAGAGGCCUCUCUAGAGGGUUACUUCACCCCAUCCUACAUCGCUGGGUGAUUUGCUGUUCGAAGGUGCCUCUUUUUUUCGCUGAUGCUGGUGGGACGGAUCCUGGCUCCCGGGGGCGUUUGGGUGCAGGGCGGUCUGGAGAGACAUCUGAUCUGACGCUGCACCACGAAGGGAGGUAAAGCCUCAGGGUGAGUCCAAGUCUGCUGUGUAGAUUGGGUUUGCCAAGGGAUUAAGCAAUGCUUAUUCAGCCUUGUAUACAAACGCGAUAUCUUUUCAGCACUCGCUCUGAGUUUGCCUAGGUGUAAUCCAGUAGCUACGACAGGUAUAAAUUUUAGGCAAAUAAAGUAACUGCCUUCUCUUCCCCUAAACUCAGCAGGAUCUCCACCACUUUUUCGGAAUCCAACUUCUUUCUCUUCAGAAUGUUUCACUCUGAAUUUUCUUCCUCCAACUCGGGAUAUGUCUCAGCCUGCUUUCAGGAAGGAUGACCAAUUAUUACUUCUAUUUUUCUUUUUUUAAUUGUUUCCUUACAGGAACUGGCAGAACGGACUCAUACCUUCUUGCACCCUGUAGCUGUCUCUCUCCAACUAUGACUGUUUUUUUCCUUCCCCUUGUUUGUACUUGUAAGUAAAUUAUUUAUACCUUAUUUUGAAUGGCAGCCUGUGUUGUAUGGGGGAUGUUUCUUAGGUUGGUGCGAGCUCGUGUGGUGCUGUGUUCAGAUAUUCUACUGCAGCACUGCAGGUGGAUGGGACGCUUACUACUGGUACAGGCCAAGAGACUGAUGGGGACAUUAGAAACCUACUAUAAAGAGCUGUCAACCACAGCUUGUUGUACAGCCCGUAGCAAGAAACAAGGGCCAAAAUCAGAAAAUUAUAUAUAGAUAUGUCUGUUCACUGCACUAUUGUGUAUGGUAACUACACUGAAUUACUUAUUUUUUGCUCUGAAUUACUUAUUUUUUGCUUAAACACAGAUACCACCGAUGAUGGUGUGAAUGCAGCCCACCGCGGGGGUUACACUAGCUAGAGAUACGGCCCAAAUCACCUUGUCUUGCUGGAGAAUGGCUUUGUUGCAUCUCUCCUCAUCGCCAAAGUCAUGCCUGUCCCUACCAGCUCUCUCUUUUUUUCUGUUCUGUUUCUUUCUGUCCUGCAAACGUAUGCAGGGUGCUCCUGCGAAUGGCAGGGUUUAGUCAACCGCUGAUAACUCCAAUCUAGUCUAACAAAGGAGUAAAUGCACAAUGACAUCUCUUGCGCAAAGAGCUGUCAUAAAGUGCGGCUGGCAAUCCAAGUGGUAUAAAUGCUCUUUCGAUUAAGUGCCUCAUUGAGGUAAGUUGAUGAUGCUCCAUUAGGCUGAAGUGAUAGACUUCUAGUUCUCGAUGCAAUCGCUGGGGAGAGGGAUUCGGUGCUGGAGCAGGCAGCGCUACGCUCUUGCUUUCUCAACUCUCCUGCAGUUCCCUUCACUCCAGGGUGAUCUAUUGCAACUUUCUCACUCCUGCACAGGGGAAGGCUCUUUACGCCCCAUCGUCCUGCGCGGGGCUCAGAGCUGGACACCGCACCUUGGCUGGCGUUCUGGAGGCCAGAAACACGUUGGGUGAGGCCCACCAUGGGUUGGAGCAUGGUGAUAUCUCAGCAACAUGACGGGACUGGCAGGGGCACAGCACUUGGGCUUCUUGACUCGUUCCUUCCCUCCCUCCUCCCUCCACCUCCAGAUCUGCCAUCCCAUUUCUUGCAGCAUGUCCUCCCCUGGACCGGCUUUUCUGGGGACAGUGGUCUGGGUGCAGCUUUUGGCGUGCCAGGGAUUUGCAUCGAAUCUGCUGAUGUGUGUUUCUUACGCUGCAAUAAAAGAAGCUCUACCCCCGUCCCUAGGUAUAAUAAAUAAUGCCAACAUUUUGAGCUUGUUGCUGCAGCUUUCAUUUCCUUCAGGAGAAAAAGGAAGGAAGGGAGGGAGGA